rnacentral:rRNA from 1 species
AUACGGAGGGUGCAAGCGUUACUCGGAAUCACUGGGCGUAAAGCGCGCGCAGGCGGCUAUUUAAGUUGGAUGUGAAAGCCUAUGGCUCAACCAUAGAACUGCAUCCAAAACUAUUUAGCUAGAGUGUGGGAGAGGAAGAUGGAAUUAGUUGUGUAGGGGUAAAAUCCGUAGAGAUAACUAGGAAUACCAAAAGCGAAGGCAAUCUUCUGGAACACUACUGACGCUGAGGCGCGAAAGCGUGGGGAGCAAACGGGAUUAGAUACCCUAGUAGUCC